GGAGAGAUGGCCGAGUGGUUUAAGGCGCACGCUUGGAAAGCGUGUAAUCCCUUUAAAGGAUUCACGGGUUCGAAUCCCGUUCUCUCCGCCU
rnacentral:tRNA from 1 species